CGGGAGGCAGCCUAGGGUUCUUCCACAAUGGACGAAAGUCUGGUGGAGCAAUGCCGCGUGAGUGAAGAAGGGUUUCGGCUCGUAAAACUCUGUUGUUAAAGAAGAACACCUUUGAGAGUAACUGUUCAAGGGUUGACGGUAUUUAACCAGAAAGCCACGGCUAACUACGUGCCAGCAGCCGC
rnacentral:rRNA from 1 species